UUAAUUUGAGAGUUUGAUCCUGGCUCAGGACGAACGCUGGCGGCGUGCCUAAUACAUGCAAGUCGAACGAACUCUGGUAUUGAUUGGUGCUUGCAUCAUGAUUUACAUUUGAGUGAGUGGCGAACUGGUGAGUAACACGUGGGAAACCUGCCCAGAAGCGGGGGAUAACACCUGGAAACAGAUGCUAAUACCGCAUAACAACUUGGACCGCAUGGUCCGAGUUUGAAAGAUGGCUUCGGCUAUCACUUUUGGAUGGUCCCGCGGCGUAUUAGCUAGAUGGUGGGGUAACGGCUCACCAUGGCAAUGAUACGUAGCCGACCUGAGAGGGUAAUCGGCCACAUUGGGACUGAGACACGGCCCAAACUCCUACGGGAGGCAGCAGUAGGGAAUCUUCCACAAUGGACGAAAGUCUGAUGGAGCAACGCCGCGUGAGUGAAGAAGGGUUUCGGCUCGUAAAACUCUGUUGUUAAAGAAGAACAUAUCUGAGAGUAACUGUUCAGGUAUUGACGGUAUUUAACCAGAAAGCCACGGCUAACUACGUGCCAGCAGCCGCGGUAAUACGUAGGUGGCAAGCGUUGUCCGGAUUUAUUGGGCGUAAAGCGAGCGCAGGCGGUUUUUUAAGUCUGAUGUGAAAGCCUUCGGCUCAACCGAAGAAGCGCAUCGGAAACUGGGAAACUUGAGUGCAGAAGAGGACAGUGGAACUCCAUGUGUAGCGGUGAAAUGCGUAGAUAUAUGGAAGAACACCAGUGGCGAAGGCGGCUGUCUGGUCUGUAACUGACGCUGAGGCUCGAAAGUAUGGGUAGCAAACAGGAUUAGAUACCCUGGUAGUCCAUACCGUAAACGAUGAAUGCUAAGUGUUGGAGGGUUUCCGCCCUUCAGUGCUGCAGCUAACGCAUUAAGCAUUCCGCCUGGGGAGUACGGCCGCAAGGCUGAAACUCAAAGGAAUUGACGGGGGCCCGCACAAGCGGUGGAGCAUGUGGUUUAAUUCGAAGCUACGCGAAGAACCUUACCAGGUCUUGACAUACUAUGCAAAUCUAAGAGAUUAGACGUUCCCUUCGGGGACAUGGAUACAGGUGGUGCAUGGUUGUCGUCAGCUCGUGUCGUGAGAUGUUGGGUUAAGUCCCGCAACGAGCGCAACCCUUAUUAUCAGUUGCCAGCAUUAAGUUGGGCACUCUGGUGAGACUGCCGGUGACAAACCGGAGGAAGGUGGGGAUGACGUCAAAUCAUCAUGCCCCUUAUGACCUGGGCUACACACGUGCUACAAUGGAUGGUACAACGAGUUGCGAACUCGCGAGAGUAAGCUAAUCUCUUAAAGCCAUUCUCAGUUCGGAUUGUAGGCUGCAACUCGCCUACAUGAAGUCGGAAUCGCUAGUAAUCGCGGAUCAGCAUGCCGCGGUGAAUACGUUCCCGGGCCUUGUACACACCGCCCGUCACACCAUGAGAGUUUGUAACACCCAAAGUCGGUGGGGUAACCUUUUAGGAACCAGCCGCCUAAGGUGGGACAGAUGAUUAGGGUGAAGUCGUAACAAGGUAGCCGUAGGAGAACCUGCGGCUGGAUCACCUCCUUUCUAAGGAA
rnacentral:rRNA from 1 species